GUGAGAGAGAUCUGUUAAGUUUGCUAGGUAGUGAAUUUUCCAGGAAACGAGAACAAAAAUAUCUAAUGGGCAGACCAGAGCGAAAGUGUGAAACUAUAAAUCUUGCCUCCAAAAUUAAGAUAUCACUGAACUGCUAAUCUUGUUGCGUUCUGGUUUUCAGCGGAAAACAAAUCAUUUUCAUCGUUUUAGUAAAAUUUAAUUGAAUUGCUAUGUCCACUCAGCCCAGACUUCCCCAGGACUUCUAUAGCUUUAUUUGCAAAUUGUUUGAUACGAAUAUGAAGAUUUGAACAUCAGUGAAGGUACGUCGAAGCUUUGAAAGAAAAUCCCAUAAAAAGGAUUCAACUAAAAGCUGAAACUCAACUCUCAAAAGUGCAGGGGAAAGGCGUAUUCAAAUAGUCACGCUCGUCAAAGCAUUAGCCUUAAAAUCUCUCUAUUUCGUUCAUCGUUAAAGCAUUUCUCAAGAAUGAUCACGAACAUGCUUUCACCAAACUUUCAAUUUCACCUUCCACAAUCUACCGCUCCUAUCCUCGUUAUUAUGCAAACUAAAUCCAAAAUCAAGCAAUUGCAGUUUCCACUUCAUAAUUAUCUCCGGCUGCGAGAUUUGCUUUGAGCGCACAGUUCAAAGAUUGGCACGACGACAGAGACAGAGAUAAGAACUCCAACUCUGCCAUUCACUGCUUAAUUUUCAAGGAAAACACGUGAACUAUUAAUGCUUCCUAAUUUGGAUGGAUUUAUUCAUAACAAAUCUCAACUGAUAUUAAAGCUGAAAAAUGAUCCAAGAUCGCAACGUAAAUGCAGUUCCGCUUAACAGCUACAUGUAAUCCGAACUAGCAACAAAAACCUCCAAUUACAUAAUGCCUUUGUUGGUAUAGAAAAAAGUAAAUUGGCACAACAAGAGAAACGUAGAUAAGAACUUCAACAGCUGCGAUCACUACUAUAUUUCGAAGGAUAGAAACGAGAACCAUCCAAUCCAUUCUAUCAAACAAG